rnacentral:misc_RNA from 1 species
UAGUUUGAUUCUAGUUGAGUUUUGCUAUCAUCAAAAUUCAUAUUCUUUUGAGCUCGUGGGUUCAACAAAACUAAUUAUAGGGAUUAACUAUAUAUUUUUUUUUUCUAAAAUAAGGGGAUUAACUAAUUAGUUUAACUAGAAUAAAGAGACUAAAUAAUAGUUUGAUUAGCAUUAAAAAUUGUUUACUAAUAGCAAAAUUGACGGGCGAUUAAACAGUUUAACAGAAUCAAAAUACAGAGACUAAAUAGCACAUUUUUCAAAAUACAGGGGCUAAGCAAUUAGUUUUGCUAAAAUGCAAGGACUAAAUAGUAA